rnacentral:rRNA from 1 species
UGGGGAAUUUUGGACAAUGGGCGAAAGCCUGAUCCAGCAAUGCCGCGUGUGUGAAGAAGGCCUUCGGGUUGUAAAGCACUUUUGUCCGGAAAGAAAUGGCUCUGGUUAAUACCUGGGGUCGAUGACGGUACCGGAAGAAUAAGGACCGGCUAACUACGUGCCAGCAGCCGCGGUAAUACGUAGGGUCCAAGCGUUAAUCGGAAUUACUGGGCGUAAAGCGUGCGCAGGCGGUUGUGCAAGACCGAUGUGAAAUCCCCGAGCUUAACUUGGGAAUUGCAUUGGUGACUGCACGGCUAGAGUGUGUCAGAGGGGGGUUAGAAUUCCACGUGUAGCAGUGAAAUGCGUAGAGAUGUGGAGGAAUACCGAUGGCGAAGGCAGCCCCCUGGGAUAACACUGACGCUCAUGCACGAAAGCGUGGGGAGCAAACAGGAUUAGAUACCCUGGUAGUCCACGCCCCUAAAACGAUGUCAACUAGUUGUUGGGGAUUCAUUUCCUUAGUAACGUAGCUAACGCGUGAAGUUGACCGCCUGGGGAGUACGGUCGCAAGAUUAAAAGCUC